CGAACGGGUGAGUAAUACAUCGGAACGUGCCCAAUCGUGGGGGAUAACGCAGCGAAAGCUGUGCUAAUACCGCAUACGAUCUACGGAUGAAAGCAGGGGAUCGCAAGACCUUGCGCGAAUGGAGCGGCCGAUGGCAGAUUAGGUAGUUGGUGAGGUAAAGGCUCACCAAGCCUUCGAUCUGUAGCUGGUCUGAGAGGACGACCAGCCACACUGGGACUGAGACACGGCCCAGACUCCUACGGGAGGCAGCAGUGGGGAAUUUUGGACAAUGGGCGAAAGCCUGAUCCAGCCAUGCCGCGUGCAGGAUGAAGGCCUUCGGGUUGUAAACUGCUUUUGUACGGAACGAAACGGCCUUUUCUAAUAAAGAGGGCUAAUGACGGUACCGUAAGAAUAAGCACCGGCUAACUACGUGCCAGCAGCCGCGGUAAUACGUAGGGUGCAAGCGUUAAUCGGAAUUACUGGGCGUAAAGCGUGCGCAGGCGGUUAUGUAAGACAGUUGUGAAAUCCCCGGGCUCAACCUGGGAACUGCAUCUGUGACUGCAUAGCUAGAGUACGGUAGAGGGGGAUGGAAUUCCGCGUGUAGCAGUGAGUGAAAUGCGUAGAUAUAGGAA
rnacentral:rRNA from 1 species